ACAAACCAAACCAGAAGUUGGUCUGAUGUAUCCGCAAAUGGUGUAUGUGUAUAAGGUCAUGUUCUGUACAGCCAUAUCUUCAUGACGGGCUCGGCUGCAGGGGCUAGGUGAGAGCUCAUCAGUAUAUGUUAGUAAUGCUCACUACCUCAGCGUCCACCGGUACUUGGUGCGACUUCCAUACAUCAUCAAGCUAGCGAGAUGGGCUCACCGCCUUGACAGCAUCAAGCUAAUGUGAUGCCCUUAUUAUUUGCCUAUAUGCUUCCGCUGGAUGUGUCUUCUAUGCUGCGGCAUUGACCUGCUGUGGUAGCUACGUAGAUAGGGCUAUGUAAAAGUUAUUUUGUGUAAGUGCAGUACAUCCUCUGGCUGAUUGGGAGGCUUGUAAGACAAUCCUUCAUCCAGACCCUAUGUUGAGAAUACGGGCUUAGCUUUAUAUGCUCUUUAACUACUCCUAUGCAUGACACGAACUGUUGCCCAGGAAGAAUUUUUGUUGAUACACUUUC